rnacentral:lncRNA from 1 species
GAGCUGAGGGACAGCCCCGCGGUUGUGGGUGUCCCGCGGCGCCGGAAACUGGGCGCACACACCCUCGGAUUGACGUGCGCACGCGCACCGGUUACCUUCAGGAGCGCCGAAGAAGGAAAGAAGACUGCCAGCUCCGUGACAGCAAGAACCUUGUAUGACUUUUUCAUGAUGGAUGUUCAUCUGUGCCAUCUGUAAAUAUUGAAUAAAUAUUUGUGGAAUACAUGAAUCUAAAAGUGAAUGGAAUGAUAAAGAGGGAAAGGGUCAUGACAUCUACUACAGCAUUUGGCACAGACCCAGCUGUCUGCAGUACUAUCAAGAGAUGACAUGGACUUCAAGGAUCAAACAGGGGAGAAAAAGGCUUAAAAGAAAAACAAGUCUCCAUCAAAGGUAAUAACCACAAUGAGAACUAUACAUAGCUAUGUGCUUAUAGGUCUUAGUUCACAUUCCCCUCAUUAAAAUUAUAGCUCAAGAAAUAAAGGGCUGUUUAAUGACUUGGGUAUAUAAAUAUACUUCAUUUGUAUAUUUUUUACUUGCUAAAAUCUAUCCAAAUUGGUAUUACCUCAAACCAUAAUCUUCUACUGUAUUUUAUAAUUUUACUUUAUUGCCAUGUAUUUUUCCCACUGAUGUUCACAAAUUCACAGGAAACAUCAGCCAUGUACUAAAUAAAAUAUGAAUUGAAUCGACAAAUAGAACUAUAAA